UAGUACGGUUAUGAUAGUACGGUGAACGUGUACAUGCCGAAGUGGUGUUUAACUACACGAGAAGAGAAAUGCGAUUGCAAAGAUAAUGCACCUAUAUUCAGAACGUGGAGCAGAACAAAAAAGAAGUGGACUCAUCUGAAAUAAAGUGGAUGUUAUAAAACUUGUCAAUGUCGAUAGGAUUUUUUUUAAUUUAUUAAAUAUAAUUGUGAUAUCGACUAUUUGCGGCUGAGAUAUGGAAUUGAUGUCCAUUUUAGCGAUCACGGUAUUUUACUUCCUUACUCUGGGUGUCAGUACAUCAUUCUGCCAAAUAACAAAUGUUACCCUGGUGGAUGGAGAUAGACCAAGCGAGGGACGAGUAGAAUUAAUUGCAUCUCGGUUUUCUGAUGAAUGGUAUCCAGUUCGUUCUCGGUCCUUUGAAUACCAUGAAGCAUCACUUGUUUGCAGAGAGCUCGGGUACCCAGCUGUCAAUAACCCUAACGAAGGUUUGAAUUUUGGGAGCACACCUGUGCCAGAUUAUCCUAUCAUGUGGAGGAUGACUUGUAAUAGUGGAGCAGAGAGCCUUUCCGGUUGUCAUGUAUUGGAUUAUCACCGUUUCUAUGAUGCAGCAGGAGUGAUUUGCUACGGUAAGAUGAAAGUUUUAUUAUUUGUUAAGGGUGCAGUGGAAUGGGCUUCAUCUAUUUGGUCAGCCAUUAAAACCAGGCGCGGAUCAUUGGGGGGCCGAGGGGCCUGCCCCUUCCUCGCUCAAAAACAAGGGAGGAUGAAGGGGAAAGGAAGAGAGAAAAAAAGAGAGAUCAAAAAGGGAAGGACGAGAAGAAAAAGAGAGAGG